GGGGGGGGGAGUGGGAGCGAGAGGUAGAAAGAAGAAGCGCUAGUAAUUGACAUACCUAUUAGAUUUAUCCUCUGUACAGAGAAGCCGGAAGCUUCGAUUAAUCAACAGCUGUUACAAAAACGUAGACGUACAUUUGGGAGUUUUUGCCAGGCGUAACGCAAGGGAAUCUGUCGCUGGCGUAAAAUUACAUCUGGGAGUUGACAAUGGUUCUUUGGCGUAGCAGCAUUUGGAGUCGGUUCUGUGGAUAACAGCCAGGACGUGUGAAAGACGAGGACUUGGUAGUUGCGGGUUAUACACAGUACGAAAAUUAUAGAGCAAAGAAGACGGACCUCGCAUGCGUCCGUUCCAAACGGGAAGCUGGAUGAAAAUUUCUCGCAGCGGGGAAUUCCUCCAUUUCCGGCGUAUUUGCGUUCGACGGCUGCUUGGGCGCGGGGAGGAAGAUCCACCGGCGGUGUUUCCGCAGGCGAAAAUCCGGGUCAUUUGGCCAUCAAGUCGAGACUUCUGGCCGUCAUCGUGCAGAACAAGAAACUUACAUGAUUGUACAGACGCGCAAUGUAGAAAAAAAUGACAAAAUACUAAAAAAUAAAGAAGGUUACUGGGCGGGUGCUGGACGCGGGCAAUCGUCCCGUCCUUAACCGGGUGCUUACCGUCGACGGGUUGGACAAACAUUUUGAUAAAGUGCUUAUAACGGGUGCUGACCGGGUGCUUGUUGAGCAAUUAUUUCAUUAAACUUCCUAGCCGGAUGCCAGCCGAGAGCUGAUUGGGCAUUAUUUUACUCGAAGCCUAUAGGCUUGGAAUUUUGAUAAAUCAGCAUUAAUUAAUAUUAAUUCAAUAUUUACGGGAUCAUCACAGUGUAACGGGUCGAAAAAUAGCUGAUUUUCACGAUCUUUUCUUUGAUGUUUAAAAUACGCUAACCAGUCUGAUUUUUUUGUGUCGCUAAUUUUUUUCAAAACGCCGCCAUUUUGUCAAUUCUAAUUAAAAAAAAAACUUCCAUAGCAAGGUAGCGGCAUUCAUACUGAUUAAUAAUCUCUUUUUAAAUUUUGUUUCAGAUAAUUUU
rnacentral:lncRNA from 1 species